AGCAGGCGUUUCACGCAUAACCCCAGGUCAGCGACUUGUCUGAUUUCGGGCUCAUAACCCGAAGGUCGCGGGUUCAAAUCCCGCCCCCGCUA
rnacentral:tRNA from 1 species